ensembl:lncRNA
ACGUGGUCUUAGCUUUCUGCCUGCUAAUGUGAGACUAUAACCCCCUUUUCUUCCUGACUAGGUAGUGCCCUGCUGAAUGGCAGUCACUCUGUAAACUGGUAGAGAGGACACAAAUCUACAAAAAGCCACUAGGAGCAGACGGCUGGGAAGGAAAAGCCAUUUUUUUCUGUUUUCCCUGCCGGCCCUGGUGCACCGGCCUCUCCUCUCUCUCAUCAUCGGGGCUUCACCUUUGCUACACUUCCUCAGAUAACCGCUUCUUUUUCUCAAGGUUUGCUUUGAGUUUACAAACAAACCGACUUUCCCCCUUCCUUUGCUCUAUCAUUAACUUUGAAACAGCAUUUUUAGAAAAGACAAUAAAGAAUCCACCUGCAAUGCAGGAGACCUGGGUUCCAUCCCUGGGUUAGGAAGUUCCCCUGGAGGAGGGCAUGGCCACCCACUCCAGUGUUCUUGCCUGGAGAAUCCCAUGGACAGAGGAGCCUGGCGGGCUACAGUCCAUGGGGUUGCAGAGAGUCAGACACACCGAGCAUCUAAUCAGAAAAAAAGCUACACUUAAACCAGCAUUGGAUGGCAUCAUCGACUCAAUGGACAUGAGUUUGAGCAAGCUCCAGGAGUUGCUGAUGGACAGGGAGGCCUGGUGCGCUGCAGUCCAUGGAGUCACAAAGAAUCAGACACGACUGAGCAACUGAACAACAAAACCAACAUUGUCCUCACU